GGCUGAAUGACUGGGGAGUAAUAUAACCAUGAGUUAAAAUUUAGAUAACAAAGAAUAGAUAAAAAUCCAUCAAUGAUGCGUAAGCAUUUUUCUAGAUACUAAUGUGGCCACAUAUUGCAUCCUCUUAACCUAUGCGAUGAGUGCGUGCCUUUGCGAUGCAUGCCUUCUUGGUGAACUUGGAAGAUGAUGUGCCCUGAGAGUUUUUGGUGAUGAGACAAAUCAAAGUUGUUGAAGAGUUGGUCUUUUCGCACACAUUGGUAGACAGUGAGGUCAUCCCGGGCAUAUCAUCUCCAGGACCAUGGUUGC
rnacentral:lncRNA from 1 species